AGAGUUUGAUCCUGGCUCAGGAUGAACGCUGGCGGCGUGCUUAACACAUGCAAGUCGAACGAAGCACCUUGAUUUGAUUCUUCGGAUGAAGAUCUUGGUGACUGAGUGGCGGACGGGUGAGUAACGCGUGGGUAACCUGCCUCAUACAGGGGGAUAACAGUUAGAAAUGACUGCUAAUACCGCAUAAGACCACAGCACCGCAUGGUGCAGGGGUAAAAACUCCGGUGGUAUGAGAUGGACCCGCGUCUGAUUAGGUAGUUGGUGGGGUAACGGCCUACCAAGCCGACGAUCAGUAGCCGACCUGAGAGGGUGACCGGCCACAUUGGGACUGAGACACGGCCCAAACUCCUACGGGAGGCAGCAGUGGGGAAUAUUGCACAAUGGGGGAAACCCUGAUGCAGCGACGCCGCGUGAGCGAUGAAGUAUUUCGGUAUGUAAAGCUCUAUCAGCAGGGAAGAAAAUGACGGUACCUGACUAAGAAGCACCGGCUAAAUACGUGCCAGCAGCCGCGGUAAUACGUAUGGUGCAAGCGUUAUCCGGAUUUACUGGGUGUAAAGGGAGCGUAGACGGAGUGGCAAGUCUGAUGUGAAAACCCGGGGCUCAACCCCGGGACUGCAUUGGAAACUGUCAAUCUAGAGUACCGGAGAGGUAAGCGGAAUUCCUAGUGUAGCGGUGAAAUGCGUAGAUAUUAGGAGGAACACCAGUGGCGAAGGCGGCUUACUGGACGGUAACUGACGUUGAGGCUCGAAAGCGUGGGGAGCAAACAGGAUUAGAUACCCUGGUAGUCCACGCCGUAAACGAUGACUACUAGGUGUCGGGCAGCAAAGCUGUUCGGUGCCGCAGCAAACGCAAUAAGUAGUCCA
rnacentral:rRNA from 1 species